GAGAAAGUUGCAGUCCUCAGAGGAAUGGAGAGAGAGAGAGAGAGGGGAUUCAGCGGACUGCUAACCAAACUGACCCUGUGAGCAGCUUCAACUGACCACUCAGUCACCCCAGGAACAUGGUGUGUACAUGUCUCUGAACGGUCCUCCACCUGAAGACCUCUGUUGACCCUGAGCCUAAUCUGAUAGAAAAGCUUCCAGCAUGGAACAGGAGGACUUCCCUCCACCUCCUCCUGACAUGCUAGAUGAAGAAGAGGAGGGUGAGCGGUUUGAGUUUGAUGACAGCUGUGAUGAAGCUCCUGAGGCCGAUCGCCCUCUCCCGGCUCCUCCUGUGCAGGACUAUGGUGCUCCAGACCACUGUGGAGCAGCAGCUUCAUCUGCACCUGUUAGUCCACCCUCCUUAGUGGGUGCAGCCAGUCCAGCGAAUGGGACUAAUCUUGGCUCGUACAAUGCAGAGGCUGAUCUACCCCCACCACCUGAGAACUGUGCCCCUCUUAAUGCCCCAUUGUGCCAUACUGUGGCCCCACAGAGUGACUUACCUGCACCCCCUGAAGAGGAACAGAAUCUGAAUGGUUCACUCGCUGCAGCGGGCCUGGAUAGUGAUCUGCCUCCACCUCCAGAGGAUGUCACACGACCUGCCACUGAAACUGGGAACAGCAACUCCAGUGUGGCCCAAUCCAAAGUCAACCCUUACUCAGUGAUCGAUAUCACCCCCAUCCAGCAGAUCUCCCAGCAGGGCCUGCCUCUCUCCUCUUCUCCAUCCAAUGAGAAUGAAGGGGAUUCCCAGGAAUUACCCAGCAGCCCUGUUGUGCCCUCUGGGUACUCGGUGCCUGUGCCCUGCGGCUAUGCUACGCCCUCCAGCGUGCCCAUAAUUACGCCUGCCUACACCACGCCGGUCAUCAUCAGACACUUCUCUGUGGAUGAGGACGUGACCGUGGUGGGGGCGGGGAAUACUUUGACAGACAAUGUCUUCAGUGAAGAGUAUCCAGUGAUAAGGGAGGAAGACGCUCUGACUAAGUGGGUUUCGGACCCUGCCAACACAGCCUGGAUGGAGAACCCAGAUGAAGUUAUUUAUGAUGAUGUGCCUCAAGAGAAUUCUGGAUCCACUACAGACCCAGAUGAAAUGAUCUACGAUGACGUGGAGCUGGGGGAGGAGGGCGGCAGUAGUUCCCUGGAUAACGGCUGGAGCUCCAGUGAGUUUGAGAGCUAUGAGGAGGGCAGUGAUGGUGAGAACGGUCAUGCAGAGAACGGACUCCCGAGCGCCUUUGUCCGCGGACGCCCGCCAAGCAAGAAAACACACCUGUCUCAAGAUCUGACGCGUUUGAAAGAGCACUAUGAGAAAAAGGUGAGAGAUCUAAUGGCAAAUGCAGUGGGGACAGUAGAACUCCAGCAGCUCAGACACAAACAUGAACAGAAGAUGCAAAAGCUGGUGAAGGCAGCUAAGCAUGGGACCAAAGAUGGCCUGGAGAAAACUAAAGCUGCGGUGAAGAAGGGAAAGUCUUUCAUUCGGACCAAGUCUUUCUGCCAUGAGAGGAAGACGUCCUGCUUUGAGGAAGAAGAGUCCGAGCUCUUCAUUGAGGUGGAGUGUUUUAAUGUAGAGCCAGUGCUAGGCCCCGCCCCCGAGGGCCUCUCUCAACAACAGGUGGUCAGAAGAUGUAUCCUGGAAUCAAUAUUAGAGAGCGAGAAGAAUUACUUGGAGGCGCUGAGGCGAAUACUAGAGCAGUAUGAGAAGCCUCUGCUGGAGAUCGAGCCGCGGAUGCUGAGUGAGAGAAAAUGCAAGAUGGUGUUUUAUCGCGUGCGGGAGAUCCUGCAGUGUCACGCCCUGUUCCAGAUCGCGCUGGCCAGCCGAGUGGCCGACUGGGACAACCUGCAAACCAUUGGAGACGUGUUUGUGGCCUCGUUCUCCAAGUCCAUGGUGCUAGACGCGUACAGCGAGUAUGUGAAUAACUUCAGUACGGCUAUGGAGGUGGUGAGAAAGGCCUGUGCUUCUAAACCCUGCUUCUUGGACUUCCUCAAGCAACGUCAGGAGUGCAGCCGAGAUCGAGUCACACUCUACGGCCUUAUGAUGAAACCUAUACAGAGGUUCCCCCAGUUCAUUCUGCUCCUGCAGGACAUGCUGAGGAACACUCCGGUGGGCCAUGCUGACCGACUGCCUCUGCAGAUGGCUCUGACUGAGCUGGAGACUCUGGCUGAGAAACUCAACGAGAAGAAGAGAGAAGCCGACCAGCGCUGCGAGAUCAGGCACAUCGCUAAGGCCAUGAACGAACGCUACCUCAACAAGCUCCUGAGCAGCGGCACCAGGUAUCUAAUCCGCUCAGAUGACGUGGUGGAGACAGUGUAUAACGACCGUGGUGAGAUCAUCAAGACUAAAGAGCGACGACUGUUCCUCCUCAACGAUGUGCUCAUGUGUGCCACGCCCAACCUGCGCUCUCCUCAGGAAGGUGUAGGUGGUGUUGUCAGUGCGGCUGUUCCUUCGGGUCAGCGGUUCCUGUUGAAGUGGAGCGUUCCUCUCAGCCUGGUGGAGCUGGUGGAGUUCGGCUCCUCAGAGGAGAUGGGGGACUCUGCUCGAUUCCCUGCCCCUCACUCUGGAGAAAAGGUCGUCAUUAACGCCAAGCCAAAUAAGUUGUAUGUGGGUCCAGGCCAGCUGUAUCAGGACCUGCAGAACCUCAUCCAUGACCUGGGCCUGGUCAAUCAAAUCUCCACCAUGAUCGGCAGCCUUAAAGGCAACUAUCAGAAUGUGAAUGGGGCAGUAGCACAGGACUGGGUCUCAGGCCUUCAGCGUCUCAUCCUUAAGAAAGAAGAGGAGAUCAGGGCUGCAGACCGCUGCCGUAUCCAGCUACAGUUACCGGGGAAACAGGACAAGUCAGGCAGACCCACGUUCUUCACUGCAGUUUUCAACACGUUCAGCCCUUCCAUCAAACAGGCGUGGAUCAGCAACCUGCAGAUGGCCAAGCUGGCUCUGGAGGAGGACAACUUGCAGGGCUGGUUCUUUGCUGAAGAUGAUAGUAAUCAGAUAAAGAAACAGAAGCAUCCUCUCCUGCUGAAGCACCUGCCUGUGGUCAUGUCCAGACUGCAGGAGUUUAAGGUGGAGUGCGCCGUCCAUAACCCAGAGCCCCAUGUUAACAGUGAAAGCACAGCAGACAUGCCAGCAGUAGGUCACGGAUGUGUCUGGGUGGCCAGCUGCACCAAUCAAAUGGGCCAGAUUGCCAUAGUGGCCAUGCAGAACUCCAGCCCGAAGGUGACUGAGUGUUUCAAUGUGGAGUCGCGCAUCCUCUGUAUGACCUACGUGCCCCUGGAUGGGCCCCUGGAGGACGGUGAGGGAAACCCUGAACAAAACGCCCAGCCCAGGACUGUUGACACACCCACGGUGUGUGUGGGGAUGGAGGAGGGGAGUAUCUCCGUCUAUAAGAGCAGUCAGCGCUCAAAGAAAGUGCGUCUGCAGCACUUCUUCUCUCCGGACAAGGCCACAGUCACAUGUCUGGCGUACAAGAGUCCGUGUCUGUAUGCCGGUUUGGUCAGUGGCUCACUCGCAGUCUACUCCAGAACGGCAGACGGCCUAUGGGACUCGUCCAGUGUGCGGCUGCUGAAGCUCGGGGUGCUGCCGGUGAAGGCUCUGCUGGCCGUUGGGGAGCAUGUGUGGGCAUCGUCUGGAGGGCAGGUCUUCAUCAUCAACACCCGCACGCACACUGUGGAGCACCAGUUGGAGGCUCAUCAUGAAGAGGGUAUGGUGGUGUCUCAGAUGGUGGUGGCUGGUGUGGGCAUCUGGAUCGCCUUCAGCUCCGGUUCCACCCUCCGGCUCUUCCAUACUGAAACCCUGGAGCACCUGCAGGACAUCAACAUCGCCACGCCCGUCAACAACAUCUUAUCAGGUCACCAGAGGGUCUCUGUGAGCAGCCUGCUGGUGUGUCAUGGUUUGCUACUAGUGGGGACAAAUCUCGGAGUGACAGUGGCUCUGUCCGUGCCCAGACUACAGGGGAUUCCCAAGGUCACAGGGCGAGGCAUGGUGUCCUUCCACGCUCAUCACGGCCCUGUGAAGUUCCUCACCGCAGCCAUGCCGGUGUGUAACCUGCCGUCGGCUGCUGCAGCUCCAGUCUCUGCCAGCUUCUCCAGCCAGUGUGGUCCUCUAGAGGAGGAAAGGCCAGGCUCUGCUCCAGCCGCGUCCAGUGACAGAGGCGUGUGGCUGUGCGACAGCAGCAGAAGCUCCCCUGGACCUGGUUCUGGCUCUGGCCCUGGUCCCUGCUCCAGUCCUCCAGGACUCACUCUCCUCCUCCUGCGGCUCACUGGCACCGUCCCACAGCUCUCUGGAGCACGGACCAGAGGACGGGGCCAUUUAUGACCUUCUGAAUGACCCCGCACACUCCCAGAAGGCCAAACGAGCACAGCGAAUGGACGUGAGCUCACUCCUGGUGGUUUCCGGUGGGCUGGGUCACCGCCGGGUCAACAGAAAGACCAAGCAUGCACGGCAUGAGGAGAGCGUGUCCACCAUCAUGGUAUGGCAGAUCCCCAUCCUCAACGUAUGAACGUGGAGAUGGAGACAGAUAUAGUACAGAAAGGGUGUUGGUGGCAUUACAUGGCACAGGGUUGAUGUGCAGUGUCCCUCCCUGUGCUUUUCCGAAGCAUUCUCCUCCUCUUCCGAGCGACAGAUUCAUCGUGGUGUAAAAAUGGAUUAAUGCUGAAUGAAAGGGAAACAGAGAUACGAGGAGGGACUACACAGUCUCAGUCGAAGCUCUUUCUCGAAUGCUGCGGACGUGACGUCAGUAUAACCACUUCUGCAUGGUUUUGGACCCUUGUGUUACUUGAAAUAUCGUUGAUGGCAGUUGGAAGUUGGAUGGAGGAAAUACUGCAAUACGACUCUGCUAACUGUUUUUUGAAGUGUCUAGACUGAAGUAACACUGCUAAUGCAAAAUAUUCCUAUGCAUCUUUAGCUGCUGCGUGCUUACAUUUUGGCGAUAUGUAAUUCCUAACUCCACUUAAUUCAGUUUUCAAUUUUUAUUUUCAUCAGUAUAUCACAAAAGGUCUCCCAGAAUGUCCAGGGACUGAGAGUACAUCUGUUGUCUUCCCACAUUUUUCUUUGUCCAAAGUUUCAAGUUGAUUGGAGUCACCAGUUAUUCCAAGGCCAAGACAUCAGCUAAUGUUUUAGCUGAAAUUAUAAAGCCAAAAAAUAAAAACAAUCUAGCUAAUAUUUUGUAAAGGAGAGACUUUGGUGGCAUUUCUGGCUGGCCAGAUUUCCCAUAGCUCCUAAAUCAAAGUGGACGUAUAUCAAUCCUAUUAGACACUAGUGGGAUGUUUCAUAUUCCUAAAUUAAUUUCGUCAUGUAUGAAUAUUUAAUAUGAUUAAGAAAGCUUGAUAAUGGUGCCAUUCAGUAUGUAUGCUAUCAUGUCUUUUAACAACUGUCUACAUAGGUUUUUCCAGCCUUUUUCUUGUGUAUCUGUCAAGUGAUAAUCAUGCUUUUCUUACCAAAAAAUGUAACCCAUUUGUUUUUAAUUUGUUUCUUAUUUGCACACUUAUUUGUUGUUUAAUGUGGCAUCAAGCACAUAAAUUAAUUGUCAAAAAAGAAAAGUGAAUACCUUUGGAUUUAGCUGGAAGGUGCUUUCUGUGACUCUAAGGCCUUAAACAUGGAUGAAAAGAGGGAUGAGAAGUUCUAUUAAACUGAAAAACUGAAGUAUGCCACUA